rnacentral:rRNA from 1 species
UACAGAGGUCUCAAGCGUUGUUCGGAUUCAUUGGGCGUAAAGGGUGCGUAGGUGGCGCUGUAAGUCGGGUGUGAAAUUUCGGAGCUUAACUCCGAAACUGCAUUCGAUACUGCGGUGCUUGAGGACUGGAGAGGAGACUGGAAUUCAUGGUGUAGCAGUGAAAUGCGUAGAGAUCAUGAGGAAGACCAGUGACGAAGGCGGGUCUCUGGACAGUUCCUGACACUGAGGCACGAAGGCCAGGGGAGCAAACGGG